rnacentral:rRNA from 1 species
UGGGGAAUAUUGCACAAUGGGCGGAAGCCUGAUGCAGCGACGCCGCGUGAGGGAUGACGGCCUUCGGGUUGUAAACCUCUUUCGACAGGGACGAAGCUUUUGUGACGGUACCUGUAUAAGAAGCACCGGCUAACUACGUGCCAGCAGCCGCGGUAAUACGUAGGGUGCGAGCGUUGUCCGGAAUUACUGGGCGUAAAGAGCUCGUAGGUGGUUUGUCGCGUCGUCUGUGAAAUUCCGGGGCUUAACUCCGGGCGUGCAGGCGAUACGGGCAUAACUUGAGUGCUGUAGGGGAGACUGGAAUUCCUGGUGUAGCGGUGAAAUGCGCAGAUAUCAGGAGGAACACCGAUGGCGAAGGCAGGUCUCUGGGCAGUAACUGACGCUGAGGAGCGAAAGCAUGGGGAGCGAACA